UCCGGUUGAUCCCGCCGGAGACUACUGCUAUCAGGAUUCUGCUUAGCCAUGCGAGGUGAUGUAGUAAUACAUGCCGAACUGCUCAGUAACACGUAGUCAAUCUACCCUUAAGCGGGGGAUAAUCAUGGGAAACUGUGCAUAAUACCCCAUAGGUGAUAAUGGCUGGAAUGCCUCUUCACCGAAAGAUUUAUCACUUAAGGAUGAGACUGCGGCGGAUUAGCUUGUUGUUAGGGUAAAGGCCUAACAAGGCUAUAAUCCGUACGGGUCAUGAAAGUGAUAGCCCGGAGUUGCACUCUGAGACAUGAGUGCAGGCCCCACGGGGCGCAGCAGGCGAGAAACCUUCACAAUGCGCGAAAGCGUGAUGAGGGGAUCCUGAGUGGACUCACAUUGUGGGUUCUUUUGUCUACUGUAAACAGGUAGGAGAAUAAGUGGUGGGUAAGACGGUUGCCAGCCGCCGCGGUAAUAACCGCGCCACAAGUGGUAGUCACGUUUAUUGGGCCUAAAGCAUCCGUAGCCGGCUUGAUGUGUCUUCGGUGAAAUCCUAUAGUAAACUAUAGGACUUGCUGAAAAUACUAUCAGGCUAGGAGCAGGGAGAGGUCAAGGGUACAGCUGGGGUAGGGGUUAAAUCCUUUAAUCCCAGUUGGACCACCAGUGGCGAAGGCGCUUGACUGGAACUGACUCGACGGUGAGGGAUGAAAGCUAAGGUAGCGACCGGGAUUAGAUACCCCGUUAGUCUUAGCUGUAAACGAUGCCCACUUAGUAUAGCGGAACUUUUGGAGUUCUGCUGUGCUGUAGCGAAGGUGUUAAGUGGGCCGCCUGGGGAGUACGUCCGCAAGGAUGAAACUUAAGGGAAUUGGCGGGGGAGCACUACCAGGGGUGGAUGCUGCGGUUCAAUUGGAUUCAACGCCAGGAAUCUUACCCGGGAAGACAGCAGAAUGAGGGUCACUCUGAAGGGGUUACCAGACAAGCUGAGAAGUGUUGCAUGGCCGUCGUCAGUUCGUGCCGCGAGGUGUCGACUUAAGUGUCGAAACGAACGAGACCUGUGCCACUAGUUGCUACUUUACUUUCGUAGUAAAGGCACUCUAGUGGGACCGCUGGUGCUAAACCAGAGGAAGGAGCAGUCUACGGCAGGUCAGUAUGGCCUGAAUUCCCAGGGGUUACACGCGGCAUACAAUGCGCAGUACAAUGGGAUGCUACACCGUAAGGUGACGCCAAUCUCCUAAAACUGCGCUUAGUUCGGAUCGAGGGCUGAAACUCGCCCUCGUGAAGCCGGAAUCCCUAGUAAGCGAAGGUCAUCAUCUUUCGCUGAAUACGUCCCUGCUCCUUGCACACACCGCCCGUCAAGCCAUCCGAGUGAGGCUUUGGUGAGGCUUACGAUGAGUAAUUCGAACCGAGGUUUCGCAAGGAGGGCUAAGUCGUAACAAGGUAGCCGUAC
rnacentral:rRNA from 1 species